rnacentral:lncRNA from 1 species
UCUUGUUGUAAGGUAUGUUUUGUUUAAAGGAACAAGGUGGUUCAUUGUCUUCUCACUUUUUGUUUCUUUUGUGAACUGAAAUAUAUAAAUCAUUUAUCACGGCUAACUAUUACAAUAACCAUGAGGAGAAAUUGAGUGAUUCAACCAAUAUCAUAAGAUGAACUCACGACGCAAAACCUCAUUUAGGGUGAGGUGGUUCUUUAAUUUAAACCGAACCAAGGAAGUGCUUUUCGAAAUUUCUUCAUUGUAUUUGUGCAAAAGUGGCCCGCAUGUUCUGAAUGCAAGUGACUGGGCAAUAGUGGCAAGGACAAAGGGAUCAAAUCACGGAGGAAGAUUAUCUGUUGUGAUCAUCAGUAUGUGCAUAUAUAGCCAUCUUGGUUAUCCCUCCAGUCACAAAAACAUGUAGUUUAGGAUAAAAUUGUGUCAAGAAUUUUUUGCUGCAAGGAAUACAUUACAUAGAUCAAUCAGCCAAUAUCUAUGUUUAAAAAAGGGAAGUGAUCAUACAUAUAGUCAAUUUCUUUUUUUUAAAGGGAGUUUAAACUCCGCUUUUAAAAAAGCAAUGUGAUACAGCCAUCCGCUACAAUUCAUAGCAAGAUCAAAAAAAAAAAAACUCGAAGCAUCUAACCACUCAUAUCUCAUAGACAUCAGUAGAAACUAUCACGCUUGGAGUAAACUCUUUCAGCCAUCCCACAGAACGCUCCUCCUCCUUAAGAACACUCCAUUUCUUCAUGAACGAGACUGCAGAAAAUCUCCUCUCGAUCGCCAUUUUGCUCCAAGUAGUCCAUAGAGCCCAUGCAAAGCCUGCAAAAAUGAACAUAUAUAAGCAAUCUUGCUGGUAAAAGACCCCUUGCCUUGCAACCAAUUACUGCUAAAAUCCAUCAAAAGGAUCUAGGAAAUUCCUUCAACUGCCAGAUUUCCCUAAUGACACACCAAAUAAAUUUAGCAAGAUGGCAUCUGAACAAAAUAUGGUCUACAGAUUCUGGGCACCCAUAGACAACCGUUGCCGACUUUGGCUUACUUGCAGCUUAUUAUUGAAAAUUUGCCAAAGAAAAAAUUAGUUUCCCCAGAGGAACUUUGCAUUUCCAUGUAAGCCAGCUACCUUGCUGGCUAUUCCCCAGAUAUGUCGUCAAUUUCUUAACAAAGAAUUACAAGGAAGCAGUCAGCAACUCCCGCCCCCUACAUGAAUCCAACCGCGAACAACUCCCCUCCUUGUCUAGCAGUAGCACCGUGUGGCGCC